CAGUAGCCGCGGGAAUACGUAGGUGGCAAGCGUUGUCCGGGAUUAUUGGGCGUAAAGGGCUCGCAGGCGGUUUCUUAAGUCUGAUGUGAGAGCCCCCGGCUCAACCGGGGAGGGUCAUUGGAAACUGGGAAACUUGAGUGCAGAAGAGGAGAGUGGAAUUCCACGUGUAGCGGUGAAAUGCGUAGAGAUGUGGAGGAACACCAGUGGCGAAGGCGACUCUCUGGUCUGUAACUGACGCUGAGGAGCGAAAGCGUGGGGAGCGAACAGGAUUAGAUACCCCCGUAGUCCCUGUCUCUUAUAC
rnacentral:rRNA from 1 species